AGAAUCAACGCUGGCGGCGUGCCUAACACAUGCAAGUCGAACGAGAAAGGGUAGCAAUACCUGAGUACAGUGGCGCACGGGUGAGUAACACGUGACUAACCUACCCUGGAGUGGGGAAUAACUGAGGGAAACCUUAGCUAAUACCGCAUAAUACCUACGGGUCAAAGGAGCAAUUCGCUUCAGGAGGGGUCGCGGCCGAUUAGCUAGUUGGCGGGGUAAUGGCCCACCAAGGCAAUGAUCGGUA
rnacentral:rRNA from 1 species